rnacentral:rRNA from 1 species
UAGGGGUUUUUCGCAUAGGGGGCAACCUGACGAAGCAAUGCCGCGUGGAUGAUGAAGGCCUUCGGGUUGUAAAGUCCUUUCGUGGAGGACGAAAAGGUGGGUUCUAAUACAAUCUGCUAUUGACGUGAAUCCAAGAAGAAGCACCGGCUAACUCCGUGCCAGCAGCCGCGGUAAUACGGGGGGUGCAAGCGUUAAUCGGAAUCACUGGGCGUAAAGGGUUGAAUAGGCGGUACGUUAGGUACUGUCGUGAAAUCCCGGGCUCAAACUGGGAAUGGGGCGUGAAAACCGGGCUCUCGAGAUUAGGGGAGAGGGUGGUGGGAAUCCAGUGUGAGGCUGAUGAAGUCGAUAUAUGGCGGAAAUACAGUCAGGGGCGAGGGCCUAGGCCCUAAUGACGAUGCGGGAGACACGAGAUGGCGGGAACGAACU